AAGAUAAGAUGCAGUCAAGCUAGCCAAGGAACUUGCCUAUGAAUCAUGAAGAAGGAUUCCAAGACAGUUCCAGAGCUGUGUGUGCCUCUGAGACCCUCUGGAGGACAUAGGCAAGUCAUCCUUGGCUACUAAACAGAAUCUUACCU
rfam:Nelumbo nucifera unplaced genomic scaffold scaffold00004, whole genome shotgun sequence